UAGGGUUUGAUCCUGGCUCAGGACGAACGCUGGCGGCGUGCUUAACACAUGCAAGUCAAAGGAGAACGAUUUCUUCGGAAAUCUAUUAAACUGGCGAACGGGUGAGUAACGCGUAGGUAAUUUGCCUUGUAGAUAGGGAUAACAUUUGGAAACAGAUGCUAAUACCUGAUAAUGUUGAAGACCAUAUGUUUUUCAACCAAAGAGGGCUUCGGCUCUCACUACAAGAUAAGCCUGCGUCUAAUUAGCUUGAUGGUAAGGUAAAAGCUUACCAUGGCUACGAUUAGUAGCUGGUCUGAGAGGAUGAUCAGCCACACUGGGACUGGGAUACGGCCCAGACUCCUACGGGAGGCAGCAGUGGGGAAUUUUGCGCAAUGGGCGAAAGCUUGACGCAGCAACGCCGCGUGAUCGAAGAAGGACUUAGGUUCGUAAAGAUCUGUCAUAAGGGAAGAAUAAUUCAAUAUUAUAACACAAUAUUGGUCUGACGGUACCUUAUAAGAAAGCUCCGGCUAACUAAGUGCCAGCAGCCGCGGUAAUACA
rnacentral:rRNA from 1 species